rnacentral:tRNA from 2 species
CGCGGGAUGGAGCAGUCUGGUAGCUCGUUGGGCUCAUAACCCAAAGGUCGUCGGUUCAAAUCCGGCUCCCGCAACCA